rnacentral:rRNA from 1 species
UACGUAGGGUGCGAGCGUUGUCCGGAAUUAUUGGGCGUAAAGGGCUCGUAGGCGGUUUGUCGCGUCGGGAGUGAAAACACCGGGCUUAACUCGGUGCUUGCUUUCGAUACGGGCAGACUUGAGGCAUGCAGGGGAGAACGGAAUUCCAGGUGUAGCGGUGAAAUGCGUAGAUAUCUGGAGGAAUACCGGUGGCGAAGGCGGCAUCCUGGACCGGCAUUGACGCUGAGUGAGCGAAAGCCAGGGGAGCAAACGGG